rnacentral:rRNA from 1 species
GACGAACGCUGGCGGCGUGCUUAACACAUGCAAGUCGAACGGAAAGGCCCUUCGGGGUGCUCGAGUGGCGAACGGGUGAGUAACACGUGGGUGAUCUGCCCUGCACUUUGGGAUAAGCCUGGGAAACUGGGUCUAAUACCGAAUAGGACCGCGCUCUUCAUGGGGUGUGGUGGAAAGCUUUCGCGGUGUGGGAUGGGCCCGCGGCCUAUCAGCUUGUUGGUGGGGUAAUGGCCUACCAAGGCGACGACGGGUAGCCGGCCUGAGAGGGUGACCGGCCACACUGGGACUGAGAUACGGCCCAGACUCCUACGGGAGGCAGCAGUGGGGAAUAUUGCACAAUGGGCGCAAGCCUGAUGCAGCGACGCCGCGUGAGGGAUGACGGCCUUCGGGUUGUAAACCUCUUUCAGUACCGACGAAGCGCAAGUGACGGUAGGUACAGAAGAAGGACCGGCCAACUACGUGCCAGCAGCCGCAGUAAGAC